UGCGGUAAUUCCAGCUCCAAUAGCGUAUAUUAAAGUUGUUGCAGUUAAAAAGCUCGUAGUUGAAUUUCGGGAUUGACACAUCGGUCGUGCCUUAAGGGGUAUGAACUGGUGUAGUCAAUUUCUCACCUUCUGGAGAACCGCGAUGCCCUUAAUUGGGUGUCACGGGGAACCAGGACCUUUACUUUGAAAAAAUUAGAGUGUUUAAAGCAGGCAUUUUGCUUGAAUACAUUAGCAUGGAAUAAUAAAAUAGGACGGCAUGAUUCUAUUUUGUUGGUUUCUAGGAUCACCGUAAUGAUUAAUAGGGAUAGUUGGGGGCAUUAGUAUUCAAUUGUCAGAGGUGAAAUUCUUGGAUUUAUUGAAGACUAACUACUGCGAAAGCAUUUGCCAAGGAUGUUUUCAUUAAUCAAGAACGAAAGUUAGGGGAUCGAAGACGAUCAGAUACCGUCGUAGUCUUAACCAUAAACUAUGCCGACUAGGAAUCAGACGAUGUUAAUUAG
rnacentral:rRNA from 1 species